rnacentral:rRNA from 1 species
AUUGAACGCUGGCGGCAUGCUUUACACAUGCAAGUCGAACGGUAACAGGCCGCAAGGUGCUGACGAGUGGCGAACGGGUGAGUAAUGCAUCGGAACGUGCCCAGUCGUGGGGGAUAACUACUCGAAAGAGUAGCUAAUACCGCAUACGAUCUAUGGAUGAAAGCGGGGGACCGUAAGGCCUCGCGCGAUUGGAGCGGCCGAUGUCAGAUUAGGUAGUUGGUGGGGUAAAGGCUCACCAAGCCAACGAUCUGUAGCUGGUCUGAGAGGACGACCAGCCACACUGGGACUGAGACACGGCCCAGACUCCUACGGGAGGCAGCAGUGGGGAAUUUUGGACAAUGGGCGCAAGCCUGAUCCAGCAAUGCCACGUGCAGGAAGAAGGCCUUCGGGUUGUAAACUGCUUUUGUACGGAACGAAACGGCUCUGGUUAAUACCCGGGGCUAAUGACGGUACCGUAAGAAUAAGCGCCGGCUAACUACGUG